rnacentral:rRNA from 1 species
CAGUCGCCGCGGUAAAACGGAGGGUGCAAGCGUUAUCCGGAUUUAUUGGGUUUAAAGGGUCCGUAGGCGGAUCUGUAAGUCAGUGGUGAAAUCUCACAGCUUAACUGUGAAACUGCCAUUGAUACUGCAGGUCUUGAGUAAAUUUGAAGUGGCUGGAAUAAGUAGUGUAGCGGUGAAAUGCAUAGAUAUUACUUAGAACACCAAUUGCGAAGGCAGGUCACUAAGAUUUAACUGACGCUGAUGGACGAAAGCGUGGGGAGCGAACAGGAUUAGAGACCCCAGUAGUCCCUGUCUCUUAUAC